AGUGAACGCUGGCGGUAGGCCUAACACAUGCAAGUCGAACGGCAGCACAGUAAGAGCUUGCUCUUACGGGUGGCGAGUGGCGGACGGGUGAGGAAUACAUCGGAAUCUACUUUUUCGUGGGGGAUAACGUAGGGAAACUUACGCUAAUACCGCAUACGACCUACGUGUGAAAGCAGGGGCUCUUCGGACCUUGCGCGAUUGAAUGAGCCGAUGUCGGAUUAGCUAGUUGGCGGGGUAAAGGCCCACCAAGGCGACGAUCCGUAGCUGGUCUGAGAGGAUGAUCAGCCACACUGGAACGGAGACACGGUCCAGACUCCUACGGGAGGCAGCAGUGGGGAAUAUUGGACGAUGGGGGGAAGCCUGAUCCAGCCAUACCGCGUGGGUGAAGAAGGCCUUCGGGUUGUAAAGACCUUUUGUUGGGAAAGAAAAGCAGCAGGUUAAUACCCCGCUGUUCUGACGGUACCCAAAGAAUAAGCACCGGCUAACUUCGUG
rnacentral:rRNA from 1 species